rnacentral:rRNA from 1 species
AUUGAACGCUGGCGGCAUGCUUUACACAUGCAAGUCGAACGGUAACAGGCCGCAAGGUGCUGACGAGCGGCGAACGGGUGAGUAAUGCAUCGGAACGUGCCUAGUAGUGGGGGAUAACUACUCGAAAGAGUGGCUAAUACCGCAUGAGAUCUACGGAUGAAUGCAGGGGAUCGCAAGACCUUGUGCUACUAGAGCGGCCGAUGGCAGAUUAGGUAGUUGGUGGGAUAAAAGCUUACCAAGCCGACGAUCUGUAGCUGGUCUGAGAGGACGAUCAGCCACACUGGGACUGAGACACGGCCCAGACUCCUACGGGAGACAGCAGUGGGGAAUUUUGGACAAUGGGCGCAAGCCUGAUCCAGCAAUGCCGCGUGCAGGAUGAAGGCCUUCGGGUUGUAAACUGCUUUUGUACGGAACGAAAAGCCCUGGGUUAAUACCCUGGGGUCAUGACGGUACCGUAAGAAUAAGCACCGGCUAACUUCGUGCCAGCAGCCGCCGUAAAAC